rnacentral:rRNA from 1 species
AUGAACGCUGGCGGCGUGCCUAAUACCUGCAAGUCGAGCUAACGGACGAGAAGCUUGCUUCUCUGAUGUUAGCGGCGGACGGGUGAGUAACCCGUGGAUAACCUACCUAUAAGACUGGGAUAACUUCGGGAAACCGGACCUAAUACCGGAUGAUAUUUUGAACCGCAUGGUUCAAAAGUGAAAGACGGUCUUGCUGUCACUUAUAGAUGGAUCCGCGCUGCAUUAGCUAGUUGGUAAGGUAACGGCUUACCAAGGAAACGAUGCAUAGCCGACCUGAGAGGGUGAUAGGCCACACUGGAACUGAGACAAGGUCCAGACUUCUACGGGAGGCAGCAGUAGGGAAUCUUCAGCAAUGGGCGAAAGCCUGACGGAGCAACGCCGAGUGAGUGAUGAAGGUCUUCGGAUCGUAAAACUCUGUUAUUAGGGAAGAACAUAUGUGUAAGUAACUGUGCACAUCUUGACGGUACCUAAUCAGAAAGCCACGGCUAACUACGUG